UACGGGGGGGGCAAGCGUUGUUCGGAAUUACUGGGCGUAAAGGGCUCGUAGGUUGCCAACUAAGUCAGACGUGAAAUCCCUGGGCUCAACCCAGGAACUGCGUCCAAGACUGGGAGGCUUGAAUCCGGGAGAGGGAUGCGGAAUUCCAGGUGUAGCGGUGAAAUGCGUAGAUAUCUGGAGGAACACCGGUGGCGAAGGCGGCAUCCUGGACCGGUAUUGACACUGAGGCGCGAAAGCCAGGGGAGCAAACGGG
rnacentral:rRNA from 1 species